GAGCACCAGCCUGGAAGGGGGACCCAACCUGUCUCUCUGGAAGGGAAUGCACCUGGACAGAAGUGUUCUUUGGAGACCAACGUUCACAGCUGCACAGGUGCUCACGCAUUCAGGAUAUGGUGACAUGUGGGAUUCCAAAAAUGGUCCGCUUUUCACCAGAGGAAUCACUUGAAUGGAAGCCAGGACCCUGCACGGUCAUCUGGUGUUAUUUCCUCCUGGGGACUGUUGCAUCCUGGGGACUUAUGCCGAGACCCAUUUUCAAGCAUCUUGUGGAGUUUCCCUAUCCGCUGUCCUGCCCUGCGGAUCCUCCUAAACACGGGAUUCUGCAUUCCUUUUAUCUAACAAGAAACUCUCUAGAUGUCUGAGUGCCACUGACACCAGCAAUAGGCAUUUUCCAGGCCUGUCCAGCUCCGCUCCUGGGUCCUAUGUAGUAACCUGUGGCUUUUCUGGGGAACAUCAUCGUAAAAACUGAUCCCCCCAGUAACCAGUCUGGCAGAAAUGAAGACAGUCUCCAGAGACACAUGUGUGUCUCGGCGGACUGUCAGACUGUUGAAGAAAUGGGCCCUCAGGAUACAGGGGUCCCCCCAGGAAUCUCACGCUGGAAGAGGGAAGGGCACCAGCAGGAGGGACCCUGUCUCCCUGAAAGAGAUUUCAAACAGUUGCAGCAACUUGUCUGUCACCUUAGAGGACAAGGCUGAAGCGCAGAUGAUGAUGAGUCCUGAGGACCGAUCAGUCCUGCAUAUCCCCGGUCUCUAUACUUUGAUCUCACUUCAGGUCCCUAAAGACAAAUGAGGGGUUUCCUGUACCUCAUCGUCCCCCUUCCCAGCGUGACCAUGUUGACUUAACCUCCUUUUUGUGAGUUCUGCUUUUCAAUGAGCUCUUUGGAUGGUCCUAAAUCUUUCUCUGGGACAACAAACAUGACUUUUCAGAUUGAGAAAAAUUUAAAUCUGCUUUUAAGUACAAGGUACAAUUCUGAUGAAGACAUCAUCUCCUGAUCCUUAUCCCGUUCUGGUUUACAGCACAGUCCCUAUCGCUUGAGGGAAUAAAUAACUACGAUGUGAUUGCUUCUGCUUUAUAGCAUAUGUUUUCCCUAGUGACAACGACCGCCCCUGACACACUGAACUCUGUCCCACAGAUUAACAGGCCAGCUCACACCUGUCCUUUAGGUCUUGUUUACAGGGGAGUGUUUAUAUGCAUACCAACAGUUGAAAGAUGUGUUUGAGCACCAGUGCCCCUUUAAAAACAAAUGAAUGGACAAGCAGGGGUUCAAGAGCCGGAUCUCGGCACGGCCGAUGUAAGAGAAAACCCUAAGUGUCUACUUUUUUGAAUUGUCCUUUUAAGAACUUACUGUUGGUUUGCAUAGACAUCUCAGAACUUACAGAUCAUCUUAACGUGUUACACCAUAGUUAAGAAUUCAACAGAAUUAUCCAACUCUGUUUCUAAUUAAAAAGAAUAAUAAAGUCAUGAAUGUGAAAGCUUAGCUCCAUCCCACGCUUUAUGCCUCAUACUUUUGGUGUCUGGUAAAGACUCAUAAAAGGAAAUGCUUUUUCCAACAAUGACAACGAAAACCACGCACGCAUAAAAGCAAAACUCUUCAAGGUAUCAGAUCUCAUGGCCUAACUCUUUAGCAAAUACUUAAUUUAAAUUUGGUUAAGUAAACAAAAACUAUUAAUGUACUUUACCUGUGUUUAUAAUGUUUGGAUAUCUAAGAUACCAUAUUUUCUGUUCUAUACUAUACCCUCCUGAACUUUCUUUUAAAAUUACCUCAUUAAAAUUGUUUUCUAAGCCAGGUGUGGUGGCGCACACCUUUAAUCCCAGCACUCAGGAGGCAGAGGCAGGCAGAUCUCUGAAUUCAAGGCCAGCCUGGUCUACAGAGUGAGUUCCAGGACAGCCAGGACUAUUACACAGAGAAACCCCGUCUCGGAAAACAACAACAAAAAAACCCAAAAAAAUUUUUUUUCUAAAUUUUGUAAUAAUAAAAAUAAGAUGUAUUUAUACUGAAGUUAUAAAACUUAAGGUCAAUUCAAUACUCUGAGAUAAAAUUGAUGAUUAAUUCUCUACAAUACUUUAAGUAUUGAUUUGUUCUUAGUAAUGUUUACAAAAAAAAUCGCUUGAAGCAACAAUAAAAUCCUUUGCUCAUUCUUUGACUUAAAUGUGUAUUUAAAACCUGAGAUUAAAUGUGUUUUCCCAUUGAACAAAGCCUUUGUUUUUUGAAUAGUCAUUGCUUUAAUCAUUUAAAAAAAAAUCUGUUUAGAGACAUGCCUCUUUAGAAUAUUCCUACUAAAUUCAAUAAUGAUUGUAAAACUUUUACAAGGACAAAUAUUUAAAUCUGUUUAUACAAUUUGGUCUGUUAGUUAGUGAGUAACACAGAGAGUUAUAAAAGGCCUUUAAGUAGGAUUAACUAAAUUCCAAAGUAGUCACAGAGUCUUCCUCAAAGGGUAAAGACAACCGGAUGAUUUCAUCAACUGAAAGGAAAAAAGACAGCAUGGCAAGACUCCAUUCUGACAAGAAGAGCCGGCUGUGUCCAGGUGCUUCCACCUCCCUCCUAGACACUGUACUCUGCAAAUUAUAUAAAAUUUAUAUGGAAGAGUUUUUUUUUUUUUUUUUUUGAGACAUGGUUUCUCUGUGUAGACCAGGCUGGCCUCGAACUCACAGCAAUCCACCUGCCUCUGCCUCCCAAGUGCUGGGGUUAAAGGUGUGUGCCACCAUGCCUGGCUUUAUAGAAUAGAUUUAUAUUACAUAUAAUUUAUGUAAAUAUAGUCGCAACAUAGGUCUAUCAUUUCCAUUGAUAGGAUCAUUAUAAAGGUGUAUGGCCGGGUUGGAACUGUGUUUUCAAUGUGGUGAUGUAGGCAGGGGUUAGUUCUACUCACUCCUCACAGCCCAGCAUCAUUGUGGCUAUCAUUUAGCAGAAGAGGAAACUGAGGCACAGAGUGGGUGAGUGACUGUUCAAAGUCACCCAGGGAGACCUGGCUGCAUGGUGCAGGGCUUUUGCUACCAAGGUGUUGUAAGCAAUAACAGCAUGCUUCUGGGGAAUGGUGGGCUGUGUACCGAGUGUGGCCAGAGCACUGGGGACUGUUGGCAUACUGGCCUGAGCCUUGAUGUUGUUCAAUAAGCAUAGCUACCUGCUGCUGUUCAAGAAGUCAUUUCGCUGGCUCCCGGGGCUCAGGCAGAGGCCUCCUUUGGGCUCUGCAGGUCCAGUUCUCCCUCCUGAUCACACAGUGAGUCAUGACUGUGUGGUCACCCUGAUUACACGUCUGUCUGUACUGCCGGCUGAGCCCAGGGGGCUGGUUUGAACAGGAUUGUUAGUCUUGUUCAUGUGGUCUCUCUACUCUCUACUGAAAUGGUCACAAACGGUCUCUUUGGGGGGGGUGGGGGCUCAUCAGCCAUCUUGCCAUGUGACAGAAAGUCACCCGACUGGGAGGGUGCCUUUGGGGUUGCCUGACUUGAGAACACACUCCUUGGGUUAGUUGUACAGCAAGCAAGUCUCAAGGAGAGCUGCUGAGGCUCAGGCUCAGGUGAAAGGGGAGCGGGGAGAGGCCCAAGGUGGGCACUGGAAUGCUGGGAGCAGCAUCAGCCCCAACUCAGCUGGAGAACCCCAAAGGCUCAACAGUUGAUGAUGCAGCACCCCAUCCAGAGUGGGCCAUGCAUGACAGACCAGUGAGUCCUUCAGGCUAGGUUGGGGACCUUAAAAUCCUCCUAACUCCUAACCCCUCACUGGAUGAUGGAGCCUUUCUGUCUCACCUAGCCUUCCUAGACACCCCAAAAGGAAACAACUGUUGGGCACUGGGGCCAGGAAGGAGACUGAGGCUCAGACAGUGAAUGGACUUGUUCAAGGUCACACAGCAGGGACGCACCAUCCAAUCCAGCCUGCCUCACUCUGGCCCAGAUCCUCUGGAGACACCAGCAGCCGCAUCCCCACUUCCUCCCACAGCCUGGUACCCAGCAGGAGCUGGGGGGAAGCGCCACUGAACUAAAUUGAAAUCCCAACUGCUAAAUUGCGCUGUGAUAAAAGGCUGCUUUUCUUGACAGAACCCAUGGAAGCCGUCCUGAGAUGCCUCUCUCCCAGUCCCCUCCUGGAACCCCACGGCUCCUUGAGAAAUAUUUAUGCUGGCGACAGGUUAUUUUUUUUAUUCUUAAAAUAGAUUAUUCACAAGGCAGCUGACUAAUUGGGCCCGUACUGUUAUAAUGGGCUGGGGCCAGAUGUAUCUGGAUGAUUAGGAAACUUUAAGCACACACAGGGGCUCCUUCCCUUUGUCAGCCUGUCCCCACGUCUGAGUCCCCUCUCAGCAUCCUUGGUGACUCAGGACAGCUGCGACGGUCCCAGGAGAAACCCAGGUGAGGCUGGCCCUUGUCAUCCGGCGCGCCACAGGCCUAGACUUCAGGUGUGGCCAGGUGUGACCAUCCUGAAGACACUCGCCUGGUGUGUCUUCCGAUCCCAUCACCUGCACCUCCUAUUCUGAGGAAGUUGCUUCUUUGUCUGCCUGCUGUGUCCUUUACCUCUGGAUGCUGCCUGAGACACAGGGGCUGUCCACAGAUGACUUCCCAGCCAGGGGCCGGGCCUGGAGACCCUGUUCUUUUCCACCCGCAUUGGAUGACCUUGGAGGUGCUGUUUGCUCGCUCCUCGAGUCUCAGUCUACUGACUUGCGAACAGGCAUGCCUGCCCUCUUAGGAUAAUAAGCUUUUCAAAGAUCCUGACGAGGUUCCAGGUGCAGAAGAGUAAACGCUGCUUAUGACAAUCCUUGCUGAUGCUGGCCUCCAGCUUUUCCCGAGACACCCCCUGUGCCCCAGCCCGAGUUUCCCUCCCAAAGCUUAGUAGCACCCUGAGCUGUUCUGAGCCCUUCCGUAUCAGACGUUUGCCCACACACUCCAACCCUUCACCUCUCAAAGCUCCUGAAUGACUUCAUUGCAAAGAACAGUAGAAAUGGUAGCAAAAGCCCUCUGCUAGCUCAGGGCUCCUGGUAAUGGAUCAGCACCCACAAAUAUGGAAAUAAAGCACCCCCCCCCCGGGAGCCAAGGCCUCACAGGCGUGCCUGGCUGCGCGCAGCAUGGAGGUGUCCACUUCAUCUUCUUGUCGGCAGGAGGAACCAGGCCCUGAUUAAUGGUUUCUCCGUGCCAGUUCCCCAUGGAAUCAUUAAACACAGGAUCGGUUUCAUUAAACAGAUCCAGGACAAUUCACCUUGUGUAAUCAUAUCACAUAAAAUUUUGCCUUGGUUCUGCUCCA